CACGCGGGGUUGUUGUACAGAUUAUUUAAUCAUCCAGUUGCUUCAAGAUUCAGAGCAACCUGAGAAGGUUGAAAGUUUUCUUGGAAUCAUGGAAGGUCAAGCUGAAAGGAUGCUUUCAAGUUAUUUAAAUCCACAUGUGAAACCUGGAGAGGUUAUCAAGGACUCCGUUCUCCCUCUCCAAGCUGACAAGAAAACUACACCAGGAGAAUUUGGGAUUAAAGACUGAAUUCACAUUCUUUCUAACCAGUGGCCUUUUUUGGACUGUUAAAUCCUUGAUGCCAAAAGCUUCUGAUUGUGAAGCUAAUGAACCAAUGCCUAGUGUGAUUACCUCCAACUGCUAAAUGUAAUCCAAAGAACAUGCCUGAUUGCAAACAAUCUUGCCAAGCAUAGACAAAGGAAGACCAUUCAUUAAAACUACUUGUUUUCGAGCAGAUUCCAGCCCAGAUUUUAUUCAGCUGCCUAAUCAAGGAAGACUGCUUUCACUUUCUGCAAACUAGGCAGUAAAAGCCACAGAGGCCAAUGGCCUCCUGUAGAUUUUUCUAGGAGUUGGCAAACUAUGGCCCAUCAGCCACAUCUGACCUGCUUUCCUGUUUUGUAAAGCCCAUGAGCUAAGAAUAUUUUGUACAUUUUUAGAUGGUUGGGGAAAAAUCAAAAGAAGAUUACUAU
rnacentral:lncRNA from 1 species